CCGGGGCCUCCAUGAUGUCCAGCACUGGGCUCCGACUGCCACUGAGGACACGGUGCCCCCCGGGACCUUUGACACCCGGGGGUCUGAGGGGCCCUGG
rnacentral:snoRNA from 1 species